rfam:Punica granatum cultivar Dabenzi scaffold123, whole genome shotgun sequence.
GGUGGGCAAAGGAUGAUGAAAUGUUUAGAUGGGUGAGGGGGAAGUUUCCCUCAUGAUCGCAACUUUUAAGGCUUAUUGAUAUUCUGACUUGGCCACC